UACGGAGGGUGCAAGCGUUAUCCGGAUUUACUGGGUUAAAGGGUGCGUAGGUGGAUUGGUAAGUCAGUGGUGAAAUACUUUCGCUUAACGAAGGAACUGCCAUUGAUACUAUCAAUCUUGAAUGUAGUGGAGGUAGGCGGAAUGCGUCAUGUAGCGGUGAAAUGCUUAGAUAUGACGCAGAACACCAAUUGCGAAGGCAGCUUGCUACACUACUAUUGACACUGAGGCACGAAAGCGUGGGAU
rnacentral:rRNA from 1 species